CGUAGGGUGCGAGCGUUAAUCGGAAUUACUGGGCGUAAAGCGUGCGCAGGCGGCGCGUUAAGCCAGGUGUGAAAGCCCCGAGCUUAACUUGGGAAUUGCGCUUGUGACUGGCGUGCUGGAGUGUGGCAGAGGGAGGUGGAAUUCCACGUGUAGCAGUGAAAUGCGUAGAGAUGUGGAGGAACACCGAUGGCGAAGGCAGCCUCCUGGGCCAGCACUGACGCUCAUGCACGAAAGCGUGGGGAGCAAACAGG
rnacentral:rRNA from 1 species